UCUGCUGGCAAGCAGGCAGAAGGCUGUAU
rnacentral:piRNA from 1 species